CUCUUACCUCGGCGUUGCGUCCCGCUCUGACCCUCCCACGUCGCCCCAGGUGCUCCACCCUUUGUGGCCACGCCCCCGCCCGCCCCCACGUUUCCAGCUCCCCAUUGUAGUAUCGCCUCCCACCUGCCCCCGCCAGCUCCGAGGUCCCUCUCCUCGAUGCUCCGCCCUGAGCCCCCCGCCCCGCCUCCUGAGCUCCGUGGAACGCGGCUCUUACGCCCUCUAUCGGCCGGAUUCUCCUACCCUGUGGAGUCCUGGACAGCUCUGCCUCAAAAGGACAUCUCUCGAGGAAUUGAUGGCAAGAAGGAGAGCCCUGCCUGGCCUAGUGCCUCUCUACCUUGGCCUAGCUGUGUGGCCUUGGGGCAUAUCCUUACACUUCCCUGGGCCUCAGCUGUCUCAUCUGGAAAGUGAGGAGUGGGUCUAGAUUUCCCCAAGGGUACCUCACUGACUGUAUUUGAAGUCAGGCUUUUGUUUGCUCUGGAGUGUUUUUCUACUCUUUUGGGGAAAUUUUGGUAUGGGGGGGGACCUCAUUCUAGGAGUCACUGCUUUCCUCUAAUGACAAUGGUCCCUAGCAUCUCAAAUUUGUAUUUUCCAAACUCUUUCACAUCCUGUCAUAUUUUGUCUUCAUAUCACUUCUGGGAUAGAGGUUUUUAUUCCCAUAUCAUAGAUGGGCGAACUGAUGGAUAGGAGCAGAGACUCAGGCCACCUCAGCAUCCUGCAGCUUGGCCUAGAGGUGGGCUGACUGGGGCCUCUGGAUCAGGAAUUUCCCUUGUUGGGGAAGAAGAGUGUUUAAGGAUCUGAGCUGGGCCUCCACCCAAUGGGACACUCACCCAGAGAGUGGCUUGGCUGCUCCCAGCACCUCCUGAGUCCUCUCAGCUUUAGCCCCUUCUGAUUCAGGAUGAGAGAAAAUCAUCUUCUAGGUAUACAGAGACCCUGAUUGUGUUUAGCCCUUCAAAGACUCAUCUAGGAGGUGGCUGGAAACACCAGGCCCCAAGGUGGAGAGGGGAGCACUGUGCUGGGAAUCUAGAGCUGGGCCCAAUGCAGGCACUCUAACAGACAUGCCUGGGACCCUCAGCAGGUCACUUUCGGGCUCCUCACCUAUGAAAGGGGAAUGAAAACAUUAAUCCAUCUACCAAGUAAGUCAUGGUGACCCAGCAAGAUCAGGGCUGUAAAUCUCUUGGAGAAAUCAAGAUAGUAAGGUUGUGGUAGUCCUAGUCAUGGCCAAUGAUGGGCCUUGAGUACAUAAGAGGGAAAAAAAAAAAUGAGGAGAAGACCCCAAGAAGCAAUGAGCUCCAGGAAGAAACUGUCUUAGGGGGAAUCAGGCUCCUGACUCCGUUCCCAAGUCAAUUAGAAAUGACCUGAGAUUGUCCCCUUUCCUGUAUAAUUAGACCUCAAAUGCACAGAAUUGGA
rnacentral:lncRNA from 1 species